ensembl:lncRNA
AUGCAAAUACUGCCUGAUUCAUCUUUGAAGAAGACACUUCUUUUCAAGCAUGGAGAGGAACAGAGCUCACCACAUGUUCCAGGGUUGAAAAGAGGCAGAAAUGUCCUGAAAGGAUGGAACUGUGAACAUGUAUCAGCAAUUGUGUUCAGAGCUCGUACUUCUUAUUGCAUUUUACACCCAUCUUUACAACUGAAAAACAACUGUGAUGGGAACUAUCACAAGUUUCCUGUCCUGUUUCAUUGCCCAACUGUCCGCAGUCUGUUGUAUCCUAUGGACUUUGAUUCAGAACCAUAGGAUCCCAUGGAAAGAAAUUGUUUUAACCUGGAACACUGUCUCUUGUAUCCUAUGGGGUUUGUUGUAGAAUCUUGUUUUUGUAUAUUGUUGUUUUUCCUGAUUAAAAAAAAAAAAAGGAAUACUGACCUUGUGAUGAAUGUAAGAUCUUAAGUUUCCACAUGUGAGUCUGAUGGGGAGGCUGAACUCCAAAUGGGGCGAAUCUCUCCCUUAAAGGAAUGAUUUUCUCCCUUAAAGGGACAGUCACCCAUGCUUUCCCCUUCUCAACGUGCUGUGGUGGUAAGAUAGUGGAUUUCGCCAAGGUCAUUCAGAGAGUUUCUAUGGCCAAGUGAAGAUUCAAAUCCUGGUCCAACACCCAAAACAUUGGUUCUUCCAAAAUACUGCCUUUGCAUGUUGGCUCUUCUUUGUGGCUGGCUAUUAUAUUUUUAAUAUGAUAUUCCAACAAUUUACUUAGAAAAGACAUCAAACUAAUUGGUCUUUAUAAAGAUCUACUGAUCAUUGAAGUUCAUGUAGUAAAGGGUUUUUUUUUCCAGAUCUGUGGUUUAACUGUGUUGUGGUUUGAAGAUGUAAUUAAUAACAGCCAAGAGCAUGCUCCCUUCCCCACUACUUGGAUUUUUCUCACUAGGAAAUGAUGCAUCAUCAUUAUGUACCAAUCAACAUUUCAUAGCUGAAUAUACGGGCUUGCAAAGAUGCAACCAAUAGACCAUGUGUUUCCUGGGUUUAUUCCAGUCCUCUAAGGAGAAAAUGAUUAUGGCCCAAAUGGUAAAUUGCAAUUGUUCCAAGAGUAUCAAUUUAAUAUUAACACUCAAGCCCUCUCAAACCCCAUGACAAGAAAAUGUAGACUCUUGGUCACAUAUGGGUUUAAUUUUCAAACAAUAUCCCAUGAUGUUGUCUGCUGAAGAUGUUAAAAAUUGGCCCAUCUGCCUGCUAUACUUGUCAUCUCAGUAUAGACCAACUGUGGUCAUUCUUUAAAGGGUGGUGUUUGACAAAAGAGCAGCUUUAAAAAAAAUGUCUGAGAAGUGGAAUGUAUACACAAAAUUCUGUUUUGAAAAUCCAUACAGCCAUAUUGAAACAGAUGUUUUAAUUGAAGCCACACAUAUUUAAAUGUAAUCAUUUUUUGUUGAUGUGUAUUACCAACUUAAUCUAUUUGGAUAGCGAUGUGUUAUAAUCAGAAGUAGUUUUAAAUUAUUAUAUUUAUUGAGGAAAAGUUAUAAUUGCUGUUUUACAUCAGCUUAAUAUAAUGUGUUUGUCUUUUUCCUUUGAAAUCAAAGCGCCCUGCAUUAAAUAUAUAUAUAUAUAUAUAUAUAUA